rnacentral:lncRNA from 1 species
AUUCUAUCCCUGUGCUCAAGUUCUUCAGGAGCACCUCACUGUCUCCCUCUGCCCACCCACCUGCACCUGACAGCUGUGGGCUGUGCUCUCAGGGAGGCACCGUCAGAUGCUACCAGACUACAGAGGAGAGCACCCUCAAUCCUGACUGAAGGUUUGGGAAAAGGCUGCUCAGAAGAGGUGAUACUUGAUAUGGGCCCUGGAGGAGGAGAAGCAGUUUGAGAAGACAGCAGUGAGAGAUGGCAUCCGGGCAGGCGAGAAAUGUCCUGAGCACCAAGGGUACAGUCAGAAAUGAUGAAUCCAGAAAUGAUGCCCUCCAGAACUUCUGGUGAGGAAGGCACUCAGGAAAAUGCAGCACCCUAUGGAGGCCCAGAAAGGAGGGCAUUCAGGAAGAACACAGUCUGAUGGUGUCAAGUGCAGCGGAGGCUAAGAGCCUCAGUGCCUCCUUCAGAGAUGCGGUGGAUAUUAGCUUCUGUUGUAUCCUUCAUACAGAACCUGGUGCUGAGAGACAGCUUCUUCUUUUUUUUUUUUUCUUUAAACUUUUCUUAAGACUAGUCAAGUACAGUAUCAAGAAGACGGGAAAGAGUAGAACAAGGAAUUGGAUCCGUAACUGACUGUGAACAAUCAAUUGAGGUAACUCAUUACCUUUGAACCAACCUGGGAGGCAGCCUUGUGACUCACCUCAAUCCUCAAUCUUCUCAGCUAGUUCACUUUGGCCUGGCUCAGGGGCUGACCUAGAAUGAUCCUGUCCAGAAGGACCCUGGAUGUUCUUAGAGACACAGACUGCUAGGGCUGGCAGGGACUUUUCAUCCAAUUCCUCUGUGACAGAGGAGGAAGUGGAGGUGCAGAAGGAGAGGUGAGCUGCCUGUGGUCCUUCAGCUUACUAAUGGCAGUGUUAGGACUGGACCUGAGGGCUCUUCCCUCCAGUCCGGCGCUAUUUAUUCCAUGACAGUGCCUCUCAAACUGUGUUCUCACAAGCAGCUAGUGCUCAGGCAGCUGGACUGAGGCCCUGCCUGCCAAAUCAAAUAUUGGAGGUCUUUCUCCAAUGUGCAGAAAAAAAAAGUAAUUAAUGGGUUAAGUUUCCUUAGGGUUAAAUUAUUUUUCCAUUAAUGCUUCUUAAACCAUUGUCACCUGCUACCAAUUGUCUACUAGCCAAUGCAUGCAGGCAACAAAACAAAAGGAUAAGCCACAAGUAAAUAAGAACAAGAACAACCAAAGCCUUGGAAACACACCAUCAUUCUUAAGUUAAAGGCUUAAAAAAAAAAUAGAGGAAGACUGCUAUGACUGUGGACUUUCUAUUGCAUUCACAUAAUAAAAUCAUGCGACAUUGUUUUGAAUUCAAA